rnacentral:rRNA from 1 species
UAGGUGAGUUGAGAAGCUUGCUGGAGGUAUCAGAAGUGCGAAUGCCGACAUGAGUAACGACAAUGGGUGUGAAAAACACCCACGCCGAAAGACCAAGGGUUCCUGCGCAACGUUAAUCGACGCAGGGUUAGUCGGUUCCUAAGGCGAGGCUGAAAAGCGUAGUCGAUGGGAAACAGGUUAAUAUUCCUGUACUUCUGGUUACUGCGAUGGAGGGACGGAGAAGGCUAGGCCAGCUUGGCGUUGGUUGUCCAAGUUUAAGGUGGUAGGCUGAAAUCUUAGGUAAAUCCGGGGUUUCAAGGCCGAGAGCUGAUGACGAGUCGUCUUUUAGAUGACGAAGUGGUUGAUGCCAUGCUUCCAAGAAAAGCUUCUAAGCUUCAGGUAACCAGGAACCGUACCCCAAACCGACACAGGUGGUCGGGUAGAGAAUACCAAGGCGCUUGAGAGAACUCGGGUGAAGGAACUAGGCAAAAUGGCACCGUAACUUCGGGAGAAGGUGCGCCGGCUAGGGUGAAGGAUUUACUCCGUAAGCUCUGGCUGGUCGAAGAUACCAGGCCGCUGCGACUGUUUAUUAAAAACACAGCACUCUGCAAACACGAAAGUGGACGUAUAGGGUGUGACGCCUGCCCGGUGCCGGAAGGUUAAUUGAUGGGGUUAGCGCAAGCGAAGCUCUUGAUCGAAGCCCCGGUAAACGGCGGCCGUAACUAUAACGGUCCUAAGGUAGCGAAAUUCCUUGUCGGGUAAGUUCCGACCUGCACGAAUGGCGUAACGAUGGCGGCGCUGUCUCCACCCGAGACUCAGUGAAAUUGAAAUCGCUGUGAAGAUGCAGUGUAUCCGCGGCUAGACGGAAAGACCCCGUGAACCUUUACUGUAGCUUUGCACUGGACUUUGAGCCUGCUUGUGUAGGAUAGGUGCGAGGCUUUGAAGCGUGGACGCCAGUUCGCGUGGAGCCAUCCUUGAAAUACCACCCUGGCAUGCUUGAGGUUCUAACUCUGGUCCGUAAUCCGGAUCGAGGACAGUGUAUGGUGGGCAGUUUGACUGGGGCGGUCUCCUCCUAAAGAGUAACGGAGGAGUACGAAGGUGCGCUCAGACCGGUCGGAAAUCGGUCGCAGAGUAUAAAGGCAAAAGCGCGCUUAACUGCGAGACAGACGCGUCGAGCAGGUACGAAAGUAGGUCUUAGUGAUCCGGUGGUUCUGUAUGGAAGGGCCAUCGCUCAACGGAUAAAAGGUACUCCGGGGAUAACAGGCUGAUACCGCCCAAGAGUUCAUAUCGACGGCGGUGUUUGGCACCUCGAUGUCGGCUCAUCACAUCCUGGGGCUGAAGCCGGUCCCAAGGGUAUGGCUGUUCGCCAUUUAAAGUGGUACGCGAGCUGGGUUUAGAACGUCGUGAGACAGUUCGGUCCCUAUCUGCCGUGG